rnacentral:rRNA from 1 species
UACGUAGGGGGCAAGCGUUGUCCGGAUUUAUUGGGCGUAAAGAGCGUGUAGGCGGUCAGGUAGGUCGGUUGUGAAAACUGGAGGCUCAACCUUCAGAGGUCGACCGAAACCCCCUGGCUAGAGUCCGGGAGAGGAGAGUGGAAUUCCUGGUUAGCGGUGAAAUGCGCAGAUAUCAGGAAGAACACCCGUGGCGAAAGCGGCUCUCUGGAACGGUACUGACGCUGAGACGCGAAAGCGUGGGGAGCGAACAGG